rnacentral:rRNA from 1 species
AUUGAACGCUGGCGGCAGGCCUAACACAUGCAAGUCGAACGGUAACAGGAAGCAGCUUGCUGCUUUGCUGACGAGUGGCGGACGGGUGAGUAAUGCCUGGGAAACUGCCUGAUGGAGGGGGAUAACUACUGGAAACGGUAGCUAAUACCGCAUAACGUCGCAAGACCAAAGAGGGGGACCUUAGGGCCUCUUGCCAUCGGAUGUGCCCAGAUGGGAUUAGCUAGUAGGUGGGGUAACGGCUCACCUAGGCGACGAUCCCUAGCUGGUCUGAGAGGAUGACCAGCCACACUGGAACUGAGACACGGUCCAGACUCCUACGGGAGGCAGCAGUGGGGAAUAUUGCACAAUGGGCGCAAGCCUGAUGCAGCCAUGCCGCGUGUAUGAAGAAGGCCUUCGGGUUGUAAAGUACUUUCAGCGGGGAGGAAGGGAGUAAAGUUAAUACCUUUGCUCAUUGACGUUACCCGCAGAAGAAGCACCGGCUAACUCCGUG